AGUUUAAAUAGUGUAAUAAAGCACAUUUGGUUUUCAUCCAAAUAGUGGGUUUAUACCCUUUAAAUUU
rnacentral:tRNA from 1 species